CAUAACAUUUAGACCACAGAACUUUCUAAGCCCUUUCAAGAUUCUCAUCUAGACAGAGAAGCAGAGACCAUGGAGCAUGGAACCCUCUUGGUAUGACAUUCUCUAGGCUGUCACACCGUGCAACGUAAAGGAACGCCUCCUGAAACACCUCCGAUGAGAAUCAAGACUGUUGUGUGCUAUACAUUGCAGUGGCUGCUGUACAUAUAGUUUCUGGCUCUUAGAGAAACGUAAUGGAUUCAUUAUGGAAAAACAAAGACUUUCAAUAUUUUCUGGUCAUCACCCUUCAGCCUUUUUUUAGGAGGUGGACUGAAGAGAGAAUAGCGUGUGUGCUGCUCUUCCAGAGGACCUGAGUUCCCAGCAUCCUGAAACUGCAGUUCAAGGGCACCCAGUGUCUCUGGUCUCUGUGCACAUGGAAGCCAGAGGCAUAGAGCAUCUUCCUUUACAUCAUCUUUUUUUUUUUUUUGCAAGAGUCGCUCACUAAAGCCACAGAUCUGACAAGGCUGGUUGGUUAGUGAACCCAAAGGAUCUUCCCGUCUCCACUUCCCUGGCUGGAUUACAGGGUUUUACUGCUGUGAAGAGACACCAUGACCACGGCAAAUCUUAUAAAGGACAUUUCAUGGGGGCUGUUUCAGUGGUUUUGUCUUUUGUUAUCUUGGUGUGAAGUGCGAUGUGGUGCAGACAUGGUGCUGGAGAAGGAGCUGAGAGCUCUCCAUCCCCAGCAGCAGCAGGAGACUGUGCCAUUCAAUGCAGCAUCAUUACCUUAACACCUGCCUCCCACAGGGGCAUGCUUCCUCCAAUAAGGCCACACCUGCUCCAACAAGGCCACACCUCCUAAGAGUACCAUUCCCUAUAGGCCAAGCA